CUACGGACUUAAUUGGAUUGAGCCUUGGUAUGGAAACCUACUAAGUGACAACUUUCAAAUUUAGAGAAACCAUGGAAUUAAAGAUGGACAAUCCCGAGGGGGGAGCCUGUUUUACGAAAACCAACAAAACAAUAAGGGCUCAUAAAGUGAGAAUAAAAAAAGGAUAGGAUAGGUGCAGAGACUCAAUGGGAGCUGUUCUAACAAAUGAAGUUGACCCAUUGCAUUGGGAAAAUGAAUCUUUUUAUCGAAGCUUGAGAAAGGGAAAGGAUAAAGUUAUGUAUAUACGUACGUACUAA
rnacentral:ncRNA from 1 species